rnacentral:tRNA from 1 species
GCCUCCUUAGCUCAGCUGGUUAGAGCGCCGGACUGUUAAUCCGUAGGUCCUAGGUUCGAGUCCUAGAGGAGGCG